UUUCAAGAGUAUGAAUCUGAUUAAAAUAUAUAAAUAAAUCAAAACAAUAGUUAACCCAAUAAUCAAUAAUAAGUCGAGCUUCCGUUAGAAUUGAAGAUUUUCCCCAUAACAAACUUGAAACUAGUCUAGAUUACCCGGACUUAUCGAGGCUAUGAAUAUAAAGAAGAAUUUGAAGAGGUGAGCUUGGACGCGAUAUGGAAAAUAUAAAUUCUGUAAAGCUGAAAGAACUGAAAACUAGACAGUUACUACAAGUAGAGGUAGAGAGACUGAAAAAAAAAUUAACAGAAGUUGCACUAAAAUGGAUGAAGAAUCCUGCUUAUAAAAACGUGUUACAAACUAUUGAAUCUAAGCAAACUAAGGUUGAAAGUUAUAUGAAUUUGCUGAGCUUACACCGCUUCAACUAUGUAUUCGAAAAAUUUUUGGACGAUGAUUUUUCGCUGUGAAAAAAGGAUGAAAAACGAGGAGAAAGUAUCAAUCCAUCACUUCCAAGGUACUGACGAUUUUCUAGGGAGUUCGAAACUACUAGAGGCCGAAAAUAAGAACUGUUACUUUGACUUGUAGUUUUCGAACGUCGCUGUGAGGCUUGCUAAGAGUUUGAAUUGAGCACUUUGAGGGAUCUGUUGAUUUUAAUCUGAAGAGUUGAGUUAGCUUCGACCUUGCAGCUUUUCCUCACCGACUCUUUUUCUUUUUUUACAGCAAUUAUGCUUAUUUGGUAGCUCUACUGUUUGAGCAGAUUGAUAUUACCGUGUGUCCAUUGAGUCAAUUGAGUAACAAACGUCAAUAUUCAAUUACAGCUGCUUGGAAUUUUUAUGUAUUAAAUGUACAGGGUGUUUCUAUUUUCGACCCACAACCUCUACCACACAAUAAAUGAUUAAUUUGCCAUAAAUCAAGUACGUCUUUAAAUUGUUCUUUUUCGAAUUGAAUUCUAGCUGUUAGACCUUGUUUAGAUUCGAUUAUUGUUUGGUAUACUAAGGACUUCAUAUAGUCCCAUAUAAAAAUAUCGAUAGGAUUUAAGUCAGGUGAUCUUGGAGGCCAAUAAUCGAUCAAUACAUUUUUCUCUAAAACGUCUGUUUUAAGUAAUUUCUUCAGGCUGUUGCAGAAUGAACUAAUGCCGUUGGCGGUCGAAUAUAGAAACACCCUGUACAUUGACAACUGAUAUACGCCAAAAUAGGGUUUAUUAAAAAUUAUUUGACUUGAUUUGUACUCGAUUUUAGAUCUGUUUUCUUUGAAAAUCGGUUUAAAAUAAUAGAUAAAAAUUUGACGUUUAGAUCUACUUCGUUUUUUAUCAAAAUGUAUUUGUAUGAAGAAUUUUUCUAACAAUAUUUUCAAAAAAUAAAAAGAAAUUAUAUCUUUACACGUAUUAUAUUUUGUUUUCUUUUCAAAGAUUAUUUUUUUCUGUUUAUAUGUUUAUGUGGUUUAUAUUUUAUUUCAGUUAGAAUUAUUUUAUGUCUAAUGCCACAGUGAUACAUUUUGGAAAAUAUUUGAAAAAUUUAAUUUCUUUUCAUUAUUUCUUGUCAGUACUUCUGUACAAUAAAUUAUUUAUUCUAAAUUUGUAUAAAUGUUUUUGAAAAAUAAUUGCAGCUUAUUAAUAUAGUUUAAAAUAAUUCUUUUUACUAAAAUUAAAUUUAAAAUAGUUUUUUCUUCGAUUUCACAAUAUAAUAUAGUUUAAUUUAUAAAUGAAUCGAAAUUUAUAUCGUUAAUAUUUUCUACAAGUUUAUAAUCCUUUUUUUUUUUUAAAUUUUAAUUAUUAAAAAUGUUAAUGAAUUAAGUACCUCUUUAAAAAUCGCAUAAAUCUUUUUUGAAAAACUCACUUGAACCAAAUAUACACUAAGAACAACACAAAAAUCAUUCACUAAAAUACGCGAUGGGACUAGAAAACGCGCUACGCCCAAUUUUCAUAAAAUCGUCAACACAUUCAUGUAAAUCUAAUAAAAUUUUCAGUAAAAUAUUGUUUAAUAUAUAUUUCUUGUACUUUCACUGACCAAUAGCGGACCACACGAUAUCCCCUCCGUUACCUGAAUCAAACGUGGAUUUUGUUGACAAUCUAGCCGGUAAGUUUCAGGUACUGGAAAUGUGUAGGUACUGUUCAAAAUUGAACCAAUUGAUUACAUGAUGUAUAUUUAUAAAUAAAAACGUUUUAUUAUACCUUAUAGGUACAAAAUGUUUGUAGAUGUGAAAUUUUUUCGUAAAUAUACGGGGUUAUGACGAAUUCAAUAACCUGUUCAUUUGAUACGAAUAUGACAGCUACAACAUGGCGUUUCGCUAGCAGUGACGUCACGCUUCUCUGAUUGGCGUUUACUGCCACGUGAUUAAACAUACUUUUAUGGUGAUUAUGUUUUAUUAAAUUUUAUAUUUCAAAUCAAUAUAAAAUUCUACAACAAA